GUGGGGCGGUACCUCAGGAUAAUGGCAGCAGAAGGCAAAGGGAGCAGACAGCUGGCAAGCUCUGUCCCAAUAUGCUUCCCUGAAAGAGGCGAGGAAAUUUCAGAAGAUGCAAUGCCUGAAUGGCUCACUUUGCAGAGAAAAAAAGAAGCAAGCAGGAAUGAAGACAUAGACAACACAGGAGCGAACAGGCAGACGUGGCUGCGUUACAGUGAUACUUCCCUCACAAAUGCUGUAAAUUUCUUUAAAUGAUAGAUGUAAAGAUGGAAGACAGAUGGAUAGAGGAAAAGACAGAAUCAGAUACUGCAUGAAUUAGUACUGCAGCCCGUGCUCCAGCGCUGUCUUAUUACCAUCAGGCCAGCAAGCAUCAAAGUCCCCACAUCCCCCACUCCCUCCCCCUGAAAUGUACCGAUUUAUAUGAAAAUUAAGAUUACAAAUUAAAGCCUGGCUAUCCUGGAGUUUUCCAGUUCAUCAGCCAUCCAAUAAAAAUGAUGUCAAGCCUGUAUGCAUAAUUCCCAGAAGAUUACUUUGUCCUUACAGCUAAGCCCUGUCCCUGAUAUGAAAGAUCUCUAUCCACUUUUAUUGAAAUAAAGAACUAACAUCAUAAUCCCAAUAUUGAGGUAUAAUCUUCAUUAUCUCCUGACCCUCUUGAGGUUCCCCCAAUCUAUAUUACUUCAGAUUUGUUUAUUUAUAAUCCUUAUGUAUUUACCUUUAUUGAGAUAAG
rnacentral:lncRNA from 1 species